GUUAGGGGUGGAACUGGGCCAGUUGGACCGGGCACUACAACAAAAACGGUCUAUAGCGACACUUUUAAAUGUAGGUAUAUGUCAAAAAAAUACUGCUAGCUAAAAUUACCGACAUUUUUAAAAAGUGCUGCUAUAUGUGGGGUCGCUAGGUAUAUAGUGACAGUUAAAGAGUGUUGCUAUAACCUAAAAGAGUGCUGCUAAUUUACCAAUACUUAUUUAAGCAUUUAGCAACCGCCGAAACUCUAUCUCGUUGGCUGCGGUGGCGAAGGAGAACGACAGGAAAUGCUCUUCGUCUAGAAUUUCAGUGGAUUGACUGAAGAGAGAUGAAAAGAUGGCAAUUGAUUUUUCUUUUUUUUUUUCUAUUCUGUUUGUAAUCGGGCCAAAUGGACUGGGUGUGGUGGGUUGAGUAGAGUAAUCUUUUAUUUUUUGUUGGAUUGGGCUUUAUAAUUAGGCAUUAGUAGAUGUUUUUUUUAAGUUUUAGCAUAAAUGGGACAUUUACUCAAAAGUGUCCCAAACAUGUGUCCCUAUAACCUAAUUCUGUUAUAGUGAGGCCUCAUUUGGGUUUUUUUUCGCGUACUUGAAAAACAAUAUU
rnacentral:lncRNA from 1 species